rnacentral:rRNA from 1 species
UGGGGAAUAUUGCACAAUGGGCGCAAGCCUGAUGCAGCCAUGCCGCGUGUGUGAAGACGGCCUUCGGGUUGUAAAGCACUUUCAGCGGGGAGGAAGGCGUUAAGGUUAAUAACCUUGGCGAUUGACGUUACCCGCAGAAGAAGCACCGGCUAACUCCGUGCCAGCAGCCGCGGUAAUACGGAGGGUGCAAGCGUUAAUCGGAAUUACUGGGCGUAAAGCGCACGCAGGCGGUCUGGCAAGUCGGAUGUGAAAUCCCCGGGCUCAACCUAGGAACUGCAUUCGAAACUGGCAGGCUAGAGUCUUGUAGAGGGGGGUAGAAUUCCAGGUGUAGCGGUGAAAUGCGUAGAGAUCUGGAGGAAUACCGGUGGCGAAGGCGGCCCCCUGGACAAGGACUGACGCUCAGGUGCGAAAGCGUGGGGAGCAAACAGG